CUUACUUCCUGGCAUGCAAUUUUAAUUAAGGAGUCAGCAUGUCUGCUGCACAAGCCCACAGGAGGCAGUAACUAAAAAUGACUGGGAAAACGUCCAUGGGUAAAAAGAGCCAAUCGUCAGGACAGAGAGGCUGAUUCAUAUCCUGUACUUUCAACAACUAUUAUUAAUCAUACAAAUAUCUUUCCAGAGAAGUACUGUGAAAUCCUGCCUUGAAAGCUCGCCGUCGGCUCUUACUUUCUCCCCUGGAGCUCACGGACAAUGCUUCCUUCUGUCGAGGGCUGCCAGAAGAAACCCAGGCCGCCUCAGACCGUGAUGGGGACAGAGAAGAGGUCCUGUCCCCUCUCAGCUCCCAAGUGUUCCCCCCUGCUCUGCACACAGCGUGUGCAUGGAGGAGAAAAACUGGGAAAGGGAGAAGAGCCCAGGUCUUGUGACAGCAGCAAUGGGGAGAGGUGGAUGAGAAAGAAAAGAAAAUUCAAAGGAUAGGAAGUGCAUGAAACAAAAGCCAAGUGCUCUCUCCAGGGCAACGUUAGGAGCCUGCGGGAGCCUGGAAGCUGGAAGAGCACCAAUUAAAUGCAUCACUGGUGAUGGACAUCCAGCAGGGCUUGGCGAAGAGUUCCCAAUAGUCUGUGUGUAUUGAUUUUUUUUCUCUAGGGCAUAUCCACAAUAUUCACGAAAUUGUAAGAGAGGUACUCCUUGGCAAACACUAGCGACCUUUUGGACUUUUCUAAUGGAAAAGCAAUUUGGACUCUAAAAUUUAUAAAAUUUAAAGUGAAUGUGUAAGAGCUAUUUGUUUCUCUUCCAAAUUUAGUGACACCCUUAUCUCCAGUUUGACUCUUCUAGAAUCCGUUUUUGAGGAUAUUCCAGGAUUUUACACAAACUCCCCUGCUUAUUUCAAAUUCUUUUCCCAAACUCCCUACCAUAUUUUUGGGGUGUAUAGCAGCAACUCAUAUCUGCCUCUGGACCUAGGUCAUAAAAUAUUUAAAUAUUAAUUCAGGUUAUUUUUAGUUUAGUGUAUUGUUUGUACAAAGUGUGUGAGCAGCCCAGAGGCUGACCAAGAACAGCAAAAAAAUCAAAACACACAUGAGGGACGGGGAGUAAAACAAAUGGGAAAACAGGAGAAUAAUUGCCUCUGCCCAUCAUUUAACAGUUUUCAGAUAAGUUUUGAAAAAAAUAUUAACUCAUUUCCCCCCUUACUUACGUAGCUACAGUCUCUGUGAUUGUGAGGAAAGCAAAAACAGCUGAGUGAGAUGGUCUUGGAUCUUAAAAACAUCAUCACUGCUACUGAAAGAGAGUAUCUCUUAUUACAGGUACUUAGGCUUGGUUUUUUUAAAGCAUUCAUGCUGUCAGGCAGCUGGAUCCCCUACAGGACAGGUGGAAUUUAAAGGAGCAAAUGUGAUCUUCAGAGUAUAUGUAUUCGUAAUAACUAGAAAGGAAAACACUUGGGUACGUUCGCAAAUAUGACGAACAGAUUAAGAUACUCUUGGGUAUAUUCAGUUUGUGUUAUCUGUAAAUUUUAACUGUACAACUGCAGCAUUAAAAGCUCAAUGGACUUUAUCUUGCCUGGUAUCAUUGGCUGCUAUCCAGUAAAGCACUUACACAUUGCUUUGUUUUAAGGGCACCAUGCCCUGGUUUCAAGCCAGAGUACCCAGCAGCAUAUUGGAACCAACCAGUGAUAAGCAGUCUGACAAGCUCUGCAACAAAUACUGUCCUGCUGCUUCUUAAAGACACCUAUAUGCAGUUGAUUCAAAAAUGCUAUUUUACCAAAAUGUAGUGAAGAUACACCUAGAUUAUUCU